rnacentral:rRNA from 1 species
AAUCAACGCUGGCGGCGUGCCUAACACAUGCAAGUCGAACGCGAAAGCCCCUUCGGGGGUAAGUAGAGUGGCGUCCGGGUGAGUAACACGUAGGUAAUCUACCUUCGGGUGGGGAAUAACUCGCCGAAAGGCGAGCUAAUACCGCAUAAUGCAGCGGCACCUAAUGGUGAUUAGUUGUUAAAGCGGGGGAUCGUAAGACCUCGCGCCUGAAGAGGAGCCUGCGGCAGAUUAGCAGUUGGUGAGGUAAUGGCUCACCAAGGCUUCGAUCUGUAGCUGGUCUGAGAGGACGGCCAGUCACACUGGCACUGACACACGGGCCAGACUCCUACGGGAGGCAGCAGUGGGGAAUUUUGGGCAAUGGGCGCAAGCCUGACCCAGCAACGCCGCGUGAGGGAGGAAAUCC